AACGCACAUUGCGCCCUCUGGUAUUCCGGAGGGCAUGCCUGUUCGAGCGUCAUUAUACCCCUCAAGCCUAGCUUGGUAUUGGGACGCGCCGCCCGCCCGGCGGCGCUCCUUAAAAUCAGUGGCGGCUCAGCUCAGCUUCAAGCGUAGUAAUUUUUUCUCGCUCUGGAGCCUGGGUUGGUGCCUGCCAGAAGCCUAAUCUUUUUCAGGUUGACCUCGGAUCAGGUAGGGAUACCCGCUGAACUUAA
rnacentral:misc_RNA from 1 species